UAUUCUCUUUUCUUUUCCCCUACCGAACUCGACUUCUUCCACGACCCAGAUCUGGCUGCUACCACGUCGAUCUGGGGCUGCAGGCGACCUCCAACUCCAGGUGCAGCUCGCCGCUAGGAAAGAUGACGUCGAGCCACUACCGAGACUGAUUGGAGGAGCUCUAGCCGGCCGAGCUCGCAUCGAGGCGCUCCCGCUGAACGGGACAUGUAGGCAGGUAGAGCCGUAGAGGAAACCGGCUCGAUUGGGAGCUGCCAAGGCUCGACGAGGUGGCCUUUGCGUCUUUGGUUGUGCUCCAGGAUGGCGACGUGGCUAUGGAGGUGUCCAGGCGCCGGAGAUCGGCCGGCGGCAUAUCCAGAUGUCAGGGCGGCAGGGUGCGGACGUUUGUGUUCGUAAUACAGUCGGUAUUGGCCGGGAACCGAUGCAAACGCAGGCGGGCAGGUAUAGCCACGAGGAACCGGUCCGAGCUAGCGUCGUCUCGCCGGAAUUUUGUCGGCUGCGGAGGUGAUCUGCAAGGGACAUAGAGAAUGACGGCUCGUUUAGGAGACAUAGAGAAUCGGGGCAGGCGCGACCAGUUGUGGAGGAAGGCACAAAACCUUCACUGCUGUCGAAAUUGUUGUCUGCAAAGACUGAAGAUGGGGCAGUCGGAGAUGAGUAUUCACGAGUCUGCGCACUCUGCAUCUCAGCACGCAUGUGUGCCCUCCUUCCACCAAUUUUUUUAGCAGGGUAAAAUCGAUUUCCGAGCUCUUGCAUGUAUUCAACUAUUCCAAAUUGUAAUUUAGUUCAAAAGCUUCACUAUUUGUGGAGAUGGUGCUCCAGGUGAGGAUCGACCGAGUAGUUGGAGUGGAGGGAUGUGACCUGCACAUGCGGGAGAGGGAGGUGCUGACUGCUGACCCUGUUCUCCAUUAUUGCGCUCAGCUCGACAAUGAUUUGUGUUGUGUUCGUGGAGGCUAUGCUAAUACUCAUCUUCUAGAUGCAAGGGUGGACUUCAGAUGAGGUACUAAUACCCAAAUUAUAGACUUCAGACCAGAUUUUCUGGUAGCUCGGAUGUAAGGUUUCAGUCUGUAGAUGAACUAUGCUAGAGUGUACUUUUAUUUCGAUGAGAAACUGCAUGUUCAGACUCCAUGGCCAUAUAUCCUCCAAUCUCCUCAAACUGGCAUUGAUUUAAAGAGCAUGAAGAUCGGCCGGACUAGGAUGUGGCUGAGCAAAUUCAUCAAUGGAGUUUACUAAGGACGAUGGCAGCUGAGUGUCCCGGGCGAUAUAUGAUUUUUCGUACCGACCUGAAUAAUGACUGAAAAGGUACAAGUACACAUUUCAGACUCUUUUCUAUAUUUGUAAGUCCUAAUAUGUCAUUGUACGGCAAAUUAACCAUGCUAACUUUAGAAGUGAUAAAGUGAAACGUUCUUCGUCAA